GGCCGCCUAGCUCAUUGGCUAGAUCGUUGGAUGUACCAAAGCAUUCCCCUUCCUAGCGUGGGUUCGAAUCCCACCGAGGCCG
rnacentral:tRNA from 1 species